GAUAAACUGAACAAUGUUAAAUUCUACAGACUCUAGAAAGACUAUUUAAUCUUUUUUUGGAAGAAAUUAUGCCUCCUAUGUCUCAUUUCCCAGUCUCUCCCCAGAAAUUAAUUCUGAAUGUUCCUAUGAAAGCAACCUUUCUCAUUGCCUGACUGUUGCUUUGGAUUUUUGUCAGGGCAUCUCAAAGGCUGCUAUUAGACAAAUUUUCAUUAAACUAAUAAGCAAGUUCUUGGGCAAAACAUGAAUUUUUUGUCAUCUCGUGUGAAAAUGGGGGAGGGGGGAAGCCAUAAUUAGGAAGGAAGUCACUAAUUGUAAGGCACAACAUUUGUUUGCUAAGAAUAGCCGUGAAGGGGCUUCGGAAGCCUUGGUAACUCAAUAUCGGAAAACAGCUAUUAAAAUACAAGCGGAUCGGGGCCCAGACUGAAGGACGGCCCUCCACCGGCGGCCUGUGAUGGUGGUUUGACUGGAGCAUCGUGGGCACUUUUCAAAGGAGAAUAUGGAGGGAGGCUAACUACUUCGGGUACCGUAGCUUUGGGGUUCCAAGUUACAGACUCCAGUUUUAAUUUCUAGAGGACGCUUCUGUGAGCAGAGCUGUGCAGCUCUGCCGUCAGCACAGUUACUGCUUCAGGAUGGUGAUGAAUGGGCCAAAUUAGGACAGAGAGUGAUGUUUCUCGGGCCCAGACGGUUCCGGAACCAGCUUUGCAUGCCAAAUGUCUGGGUGUCUGACAUCCGUCUGAAGUUUGCACAACUCCCCGUGAUUUAUUUCCCUUCCGGAGAAGAGCCUUGUUCCUAUCUUCUGACAAAGAGACUCCUUAAAGAAAAUUGGGAAAAUUCUGAAAUUUUUAAUGAAAGGACUUAAAAUUCUGCUUUAUUCCACCAGGCAGAGAGAUCUAGACCACAUUCGGGCAUAUAUCAUUCUUCCCUUUCUUCAUGAAUUUGAAACUGUUUAUUGACACAUGACAAUUAUAUGAUCGAAUGUUUUGUGAUCACACAUCUGAAGUGUCUGGCUUGAAAUGAAUUUUUUGUGGAUGCUUCCAAGUGGCUGCCCCUUAGAUCAAGAUUGAAUACCACUGUCCUUCAAGUCUUUUGUGAUUCAACCUUAACUCCCCUGUCCUGGUCCUGGCUUCUCUUAUUCUAAUUCUUUUUACAAUUCACUCAGUGCUUUUUUUUUAAAAUCAAUAUAAACAGAAUCAUACAGAAUAUUCCCUCAAUUUUUUUUUAUUCAGCAUUAUUUGUGAGAUUUAUUUAUCUUCUAGUAUCUUGCUACCUUUUUCACUUCUGCAUAAUAUCCCAUUAUAUCCUAUGCCACGAUUUAUCCAUUGAUAAAUUAUUUGAGUCGUCUACCUUUGAAAUGGUUUUCAACAAAGAACACACAUUCUUCAAGGUGUCGUUUGUGCAUUUGCACUAAUUUCUUUUGGAGUCCUGUCUUUUUGUGUGGGGGCAUGUAAGUGUAGAUAUUUCAUAGCUGAUUUGAUUCCCACUUUCUCUCCGUCUCCAGCUCGAUAUGCCUAUCCGCCACAGGAUUCCAAUGUCUCCCAGGCUCAGGUCUGUCGGGAUCCCUGGACAUUACCUAGGUCCAGUCUUGGAGAAGCAGCCUGGCUGGACCUGUCGUCUGGUGCUCUGAGUCCUUCAGUUUCAGGAUGGCAGGUGUCCCCAGCCGGUCCCCGGCCGCCACGUAACAGACUGACCUUGGCUGAUGUGACAGUUUGGAUAGGAGAUGUCCCGGGAAAGCCCAUAAGGCAAAGCAGGAGAGAUCCCAGGAGCAGGGACUGGGCCAGGCCAGCGGUAACCUGCAGCGGGUGGCUCCUGCCUCCUCUGUGUCUCCUGCUCUCCUGCAGCUGCUCCCUUUCAACAUUCUAGAACAUUCCGGGAGCAGGCACCUGAUUCAAGACACUGAACCCUGCGCAGGGGGACACGGUCACAGACGGAACCCAGUCGGGGAGGCCGACGCCGAGGGAGAACGAGUCACCUCAUGAAGAGACUGCCCCGGAUCUAGCAAUUCCAGUUUUACUUAAAUGAUGGAGAACAAAGUAUCUUUCAGAGAAAGGUCAUGCGGGUCCACAUGCUGGAAUUCAGAGAGGCUGGAGGAGAUGGUGUUGGAUUCUUCUCACCAAGAAAUGAUCAAUACUGAGAUGAUGGAUGAAGUGUCCUGAGUUGGUCAUCACACAAUCCAGACUGUGCCAAACUUCACACUCUCCCCCAUGACGGCGCACAACGAUGACCUGUCAGUUGAAAAAUGAAUGAAAAAAUUGGCCCAGGUGGUCAGUGUUCUGCUUAUCUCACCAGAGUUAAGAAAUUGGAAAGCUCUAAAGUGCCCCUUUGGCAGUGGGCAGUGUGUCCCACUUGGUCAUUGUGCUGUUUCCACGGCUCAGCUUCUCCACCCCCCCUCCC